GGAGGCAGGCAACACCAGCCCUCAGGCUACACUCUCCAUUUGGAGCAGAGCUUCUUCGGCAGCCCCAGGUCUCCCGGGAUCUUCCUCGGUGUCCUGCGGAGGCUCUGGCUCCAGCGUGGGCUCCAGCGCAGGCUGGGCUUCCGGCUGGGCUUCAGCGCUCCGGCCAGGCCCAAGGCGAGGCGGCUUGACCGGGGUGGGCGGUGGCGCUGCAGGGCCUUUCCGGCCCGAAAGGGCCCUUCGGAGGCUCUGUACCUUCUGCAAUCCGGUGCGCCGCAGCCGCUGGGCCCUGGACUCCACCGGCUCCUCGUCCGAGCUCUCUCCAACUUCGGCCUCCAGCUGCUCUGGGCCCAGCUCGGACUGGUCCGCCGGGCCCAAGGGCUCUGGUGCCUUCUGGAAAGCGCUGGCUGGGACUUCACCCUCCUCCUGCAUGUGACGGACACAGCACUGAUCCUGGCAGCUCCUUACCCCCAGCAGCCCGAAACUCACUCCUUAAUUACACAAGGGAAACCUUUUACCUCCGCAGCCAGAGUCUGGGGGGAAAGGCAGGCGUGGGAAGAUGGGUUCUCUACCUGGCCAGUGCCAUGUUGCCUGUUUCUUUACUGUAACUGUGGUGACAAAGAAAAGGGAAGAUGGAGCCUCCAUGUUGAACAUACCUGGCCCCCAGCACUAACUCCCUCUCUGGAUAUCUGGAACAAGGAGGACCUUAAACUUAACAAUAAAGCCAAUGAUGGUUCUACCAGUCUCCCCAAAGCCUCAAGUUUAAAAGCCAUAUGAACUGGCUGAUAGUGGAAAAUGGAAGCCAUGAGGAAAUCAGAUUAGAGUACUACCUGGUGAAGCCUGGAGGACCUACCAAGAAAAGCAAACUUGGAUCUUUGCAAGGUUAGAAGAACGAAUGGGAUCCAAGAAAAAGACUGGUCAUAUUCAACGGCUAAGAGCGUUGGAGAAGGCCUGUGGAGUCUCAGCAGGUCAGGUCCAUGACUCAUGAGUAGACACCUGUGUUUCUACUGCCUGGUGCCAUAAUCAUAAACAAGGAAGAAACUGAGGACAGGAGGGGCCAAACAAGUUACAGUUUCAUCCCUCCAGAGAGCCAACAGAGUAUUUUGCACGAAGUUGAAGCUAAACAGAGUAAUCAGCAAAUGCCUUUCCUUUCUCCUGCUGAUGUUUUGCCCGUACUCAGACCCCUUGACUUCUUAGCUUCUACCCAAAGUGAGCUUGUCAUCAAAGUUCUCCAAAAAUCUGCAGUGUUCUCUUGAGCAAAUCUGUUCAAUACACUGAUUGAGGCCAGGCGCGGUGGCUCACACCUGUAAUCCCAGCACUUCGGGAGGCCAGACGGGUGGAUCACGAGGUCAGGAGAUCGAGAACAUCCUGGCUAACAUGGUGAAACCCCAUCUCUACUAAAAAUACAAAAAAUUAUCCGGGUGUGGUGGUGGGCACCUGUAGUCCCAGCUACUCGGGAGGCUGAGGCAGGAGAAUGGCGAGAACCCGGGAGGCAGAGCUUGCAGUGAGCCGAGAUCGAGCCACUGCACUCCAGCCUGGGCGACAGAGCAAGACUCCAUCUCCCAAAAAAAAAAAAAAAAUACACUGAUUGAGCCCCAAGCUCUGGCAUCCCAGUGUACCCCAAGUGCAUGCCUGUUGUGUUGCAGCUUCCAAGACUAUAGCGCUCUGAUGCAUUGAGAUGACAGCAAGCGGCAUUUUUCAGUCCUGUUACCCAUAUGGCUGCUACCACUGCAUCCUGUUAAAUAAUGUCUUCAACCCAAGAAACCUGCUUCCUAGGGAAGUUUCUCUCUCUCUGCAUUUGUUCCCACUAGAGAAUGACCAUCACCAGAUUCCUGAACUGAAAAUGCUGUUGACACUUUGGAAACUCGGGCCUCUAUUAAUAGGGUGACCAACUAUCCUGGUUUACCUUGAGUACAGGAUUUUCAAUGCUAAAACCAGAAAAACCAGGAUGGUUGGUCAUCUGCCUCAGACCUAAUAAAUACCAGUCAAUAAUUCAGCCAUGAGCUUUCUUAAGACACUGUCUUUUCUUGACUGUUGAAUAGUCUAGGACUUGAGUAGCAGCUCUUUCUGCUACUGGACACUUGUUUUACUACCCUAUUUCUCUAGAUUUUAUUUUGUGGCUAAUAAUUAAGACAUAAAAUCAUGGGUUCUGGUUAUGCCAAAGCACUCACUCUUCAAAAGUUUCCAUCCAGAGUUGGAUAAUCCCACACAGAAGGUGUUCUUUCAACAGACCAGCAUCCAAUAGACCCAAUGCAGCAUUUUUCUUCCUGGUUCCACAUUAAUACAUCCUAUCUCUGCUAUGCUUAGGUCCCUGAUUUAUAAAUAUUUCAGACAUAUUUUCUCAGGACACAGGGAGUACUUAAACUUCCACAUAGCAGAGAUACGACAUACAAUAAGCUGUUAUCUGGAAACUCCUAGUGAUGCUUUGAGUACUUUACAGUAAUCUUUCUGGUCUUCCUCUCAACCCCAUUAAGUUUUUCUGUAACUAGCUGGUGUAUCUGUCUCCAUCUUUAAGGAAUAAGUCCCUAUUUGCUCAUGCUAUAAUCUCCCUCAUGCUCUCCGUCCCUCCUUCCCUCUCCUUCUCUCUUUCUGUCUCUCUCUCUCUCCACCCUGAUUGUGAGAUGCUACACCUUAAUAGUUUUCUAUACCUAGAUCCCUUUUGAAGGAGUAAUUUCAGCCAUCACUGAAAUCUAUGCUUUUUUAUCUUGUUAGAUUUAUUUAGGACCUAAUGACUGUUUCUGAGCUAAUAAUAACGCAAUCAGCUCAUAUUUUUCUGAUACUCUAAGAGCAAUUACAUCUAGUUGCAUCACCUUUUCCUUUUUUAUUCAUGUAUCUUAGGCUUCUCAAGAUAUGAGACUAGCACUUGAGCCUGAGAUAAGCCUUAAGAAUUCCAGGAUAGUCUCUCCAUAGUUCCCUUUCUUGGAUAAAGUCAUUUCAAAACAUCUUAGUGGAUCAGAUUUGGAGCAGCCUACUUACACUGGUGAAUACCACAACUAAUAAAUAAUUGUUCUGCACCCCACCCACAUCUAAAGGAUUCAGGGUGUCUUUUACAGAUAUAGGACUCUCCUUUCUCUGUUUCUCUUCUCUCUCUUCUCCUUGAUUAAAGCUUUGCUUCAGCUGUCCCUGCUCACUACGGCACUGCACCUCACCAGCAUCUUCAUGGCCCUCACAUGGCUCAUGUGCAUAUCCUAACUCUGAUACUAAGGGAGGAGACCACCCCUCAUAUUGUCUUAUGCCCAAUUUCUGCCUCCAAAGAAAGAAGAAGUAAAAACUAAAAGGCAGAAAUGAAAUCCACAAGCAGACAGCCCGGCGCCACACCCUGGGCCUGGUAGUUAAAGAUCGACCCCUGACCUAAUCGGUUAUUUGCAUAAGAAAAGCACUGUGAAGAUCCCUGUCCUGUUCUGUUCCAUUCUAAUUACCGGUGUAUGCAGCCCCCAGUCAUGUACCCCUGCUUGCUCAAUCGAUCACGACCCUCUCACGUGGACCCCCUUAGAGUUGUGGGCCCUUAAAAGGGACAGGAAUUGCUCACUCGGGGAGCUUGGUUGUUGGAGAUGUGAGUCUUGCUAAAGCUCCCAGCCGAAUAAAGCCCUUCCUUCUUA
rnacentral:lncRNA from 1 species